UAAAGUCGGAGAAGGUGGGGAUGACGUCAAAUCAUCAUGCCCCUUAUGACCUGGGCUACACACGUGCUACAAUGGGCGGUACAAAGGGUCGCGAACCCGCAGGGGGGAGCCAAUCCCAAAAAGCCGCUCUCAGUUCGGAUUGCAGGCUGCAACUCGCCUGCAUGAAGCCGGAAUCGCUAGUAAUCGCGGAUCAGCAUGCCGCGGUCGAAUACGUUCCCGGGCCUU
rnacentral:rRNA from 1 species